rnacentral:rRNA from 1 species
ACUCCUACGGGAGGCAGCAGUGGGGAAUAUUGCACAAUGGGCGCAAGCCUGAUGCAGCCAUGCCGCGUGUAUGAAGAAGGCCUUCGGGUUGUAAAGUACUUUCAGCAGUGAGGAAGGUGGUAGUGUUAAUAGCACUAUCAUUUGACGUUAGCUGCAGAAGAAGCACCGGCUAACUCCGUGCCAGCAGCCGCGGUAAUACGGAGGGUGUGAGCGUUAAUCGGAAUUACUGGGCGUAAAGCGCAUGCAGGUGGUUUGUUAAGUCAGAUGUGAAAGCCCGGGGCUCAACCUCGGAAUUGCAUUUGAAACUGGCAGACUAGAGUACUGUAGAGGGGGGUAGAAUUUCAGGUGUAGCGGUGAAAUGCGUAGAGAUCUGAAGGAAUACCGGUGGCGAAGGCGGCCCCCUGGACAGAUACUGACACUCAGAUGCGAAAGCGUGGGGAGCAAACAGGAUUAGAUACCCUGGUAGGAUAGAG